rnacentral:lncRNA from 1 species
CAUAUCAAUCAAUCAAUCUUGUUACUUUUUUCCAUAACUGAUACAACAAAACUGAUAGAUUAAAAGGCAUCAGGUCAGCCUGAGUACACAUACAUUAAGCUUCAGAAUUACUUGCAACUCAUCUUCUAAAGUAUAAUAGCUUUAGUCAAAUUGUUCUAAUUCUGUCAAAUUUAGAUAACUUUCAAUGUGGUGAUGUUAUUUAAUCUAAAUGGGACCAUUUCCUUUCUCAAUAUUUCCAUGAUAUAAUUUAAUGUCAAGUAUGCAGGAGUUUAGCAGCACCUCCUCACCAAACAUGCAAAACAAGAAAGGCUGGCAAUCAGUGAAAUACAUGAAAAUCAGUUAAGAUAACUGUAUACAAAGAACCUACUUUGACUAAAGAUAUAGUGUACUGCUUUUCAGGUGCAAAUCAUUCUGUUAGACUCAAAGCUAAUUUCCUGUAGUAGCUUUGUAGUGUGACAUCUCAAAUCUCAUUAACAUCAAUUGGUUCAAAGAGAUAAUAUACAACAGAAUGUUUAAAUUAAUGUAAUGAAAUACAAAUCUCAGUGCUGGCAGGUGAAAAUAUUAAGGAUCUUACUUGGCAACUUUCUCAUCUAAUUAGCUACUCUGUCACAGUGCAUUUGCUUACAUGCAGGAGGGUUGACUGAGUCAGGCCCUAAUUUUUGCAGGUCAAAUCUUUUCUUUGUAUUAAAGGAAAACAGGUAAUUUUGAAAUUAUAGGUUUAGAAAUCCAUUUCUGGGUUAUUUUUAGCAACACAAUUUACUCCUAACAUUUGGCUUUUAUUCCAUUCUCAGUUAUGAUGAAUAAUAAGUAAGGAGAAUAUCAGCAACCUGUUGCAUUUACUAAAUCCCCUUAAUUUGAUGAUUUUAAGGUCUUCAUGGUCAUGAAUAAAUUGAGCAUUAAGACAACAGUCUGGAAGAGACCUGAUCUGAAAGAUGAAGGUGCUUCAUUCUGUCACACUGGGAGUGAGAUCUCAGGUUUUGUGCCUGGGCUCUUAACGGUGUCUUAGUAUGGGCCUGAAGAGGCUCAAAGGAUUCAAGUAAGGUCAAGAAAAAAACUGAAGAAAAGAGCAGAGUCAUAAAGAAAAGAAGGUAAAAACACAGAAGCAAAAGAAACAUGGAAAAUUUCCCCACUUUUGGUUACAAACCAGUAAAUCCAGGAGAAGUGCUGACUUACAUGGACUUAGGCUAAACAUGCUUCAGUAAAGAGAAGGAUGUGUGAUCUGAGAUGCUCUCACCAAAAUAACUUUUUUUUUUUGUCCUUUUGAUCACUGAUAUUUUCAUCUGAGAGGGAAAGCAUUCAUUCUCCUCUACACACAGCUUAAUUUGUUUUUGUAAUUUUGUGCAGAGAUUCUUUGACCAAAGUGUUCUGUAACAUCCAGGUGAGAAAGAGGAACUAUAUGGUGGCCUGCCUGAAAACAAUUAUGUUUAGCAGGACCACUGCUGGGACCUGGGACA